GAACCAAACAACCCCUUUUCUCUCCUUACACCAACGGCCCUAACCAAACGCUCCUCUCUCUUCAACCUAACCAUCGCCGCCACCCCUUCCACCCCGUCACGUCCGUCACCUUACCACCACGACCUUCGGACCGCAAAACCAAACAUCCUCCUCUUUCUUAAAUCGAAAAAAAACAUUGAAAUCUGUUGGGUUGAAGCUUUCCUUGCCUCCACUGCUACCACGUCUCUUUUCCCUUUGAUUGACGUGGUGGCAGAGCCGAAAGGAGCCGAUAUAGGUCGUUUCAACCUCUGUAGAAGAGGAGUGCAACGAACCGCUAGUCUCAAGCUCGAACCCUCCUUCGAUUCGGUGGGUAAUGGGGGAAUCUACCAUAUAUUAGACCCCAACGACCUUUUCCCUUCCCAAUCAGUCUGAAAAGUUCUCGGCUGAGCAAGGACUGUUGGAGCGGAUUCGGAGAAUCGACGACGACAAUAGCUUCAGUUCGCUGUCACAAAGAAGGUAAUUGCAUUCGUCCUAUCUUCGUCUUUAAUUUAGUAGAAGUAGAAAUGUAGUCGUUCAAGUAUUUCUUGUCGUUUAUUUGGUUUAGUUGGCUGCUGGAAUAUGUGUUCUCCUCGUUUGUUGUAAAUUAGCGUGAAACGACUAAUUUCGUCGAAUAUGUGUUUAACUCCCGUCGCCCCGUCGCUGCCGUCAAAAGAUAAUAUUUGAACCCCAUUUUAUUCUUAUCAUUCAUUUUCGCAUUAGCACAUAAGUGUUUAUUCUGGUUUGUUUGAGAAGAUUUAUUUUAAAAUAUGUAGCCUAAUGUUGGCAGAAAAAUGGUUGCUCCCAUAUUUAUUAUGACCUAUUGUUGUUGUUUUCUCUGUUUGCUGCUGCCCUGCAAAAAAUUAGACUGUUACUUAUUGUGCCAUUCUCCUGUAAUGACUUGUGCUUAGCAUGCUAUCUUAAUAAGUUAAUAUGGUGAAUUAUUAUGAAGAAAGGAAUGGUCUUCUCCUGUGCUUAAGCAUUCCUUGGUCUGUCCACUAAAUGAACCCAUAAGUGAAAACAUGUUCUUCAAAAAAAAAAUUGAUUAAGUCCCCCUUAUUUUGGACAUACGACUUAGGGAGUAGGAGUCCAACAUUGUUAAGGAUGAAGGAAAAGGAUUUUAAUUUGAACUUUGUAUGAUCAUUUGGCCACUCGUUUUAGUUGCUUAAAUUUGCAUAAGUUGUCCUUGCUUGUCCUUUACUAUUUGAUUAAAUCAAACCAAGUUAAUGAGAGAGUUCUGGGAAUUGCUUAAACUAAUUUGAGUAUGGAGAAUCACUGGAUUUCUAGGGACUCUUGGUUGGUGUGAAACUAUUGAUAAAUUGUGGCCCUGCUGGUAGCAGCCACAAUCUGAGUGUUCAGUGAGGAUCAUGACCUUCCCUCUUUGUUGUGCCUCACCCAGCAUAAGCCUAUGAGUCUCCAUGAACCUGUGUCUUUAGAACAGCCUGACAUACUUGUUUAAACCAACUAAGUGCAGAGCCUUAGUCCCUUUUAUAAAUCUGAAAUAUGUUUACUCAGUGUCAGUCUAACUGUAUAGCAUGCUUAAUAGUUAAGGGAUGUGUGUUGAGACUCAGUUGUUGCAUAAGUUCUAUUCAAGAGUUCAGCAAAGAGGUGACACUAUUUUGUUACUAGUUUCCCCGGGAAAAAUAUACAAACAAAUGACAGUUUUUUUUUUAUUUAGAUUAAAAUUAGUUGUAUUUGAUUUUAAGAGUUCAUCCUUGCUUGUUUUAGGUUGUGGUGUGUUGCUUAAAUGACUGAGUGUCCUUCAAAAACUAUUAGCUUAUCCACACAUGUUGAGAAUAGAAUCUGUACCUUAUAAGGGUUAUUAAGCAUGUUCUGUUUUAAUUCAUGGGCUGCAUUUUGUUCUUACAAAGUUUUGAUUGGUGGUUGAAAUUUCGAGGCAAGCUUUGGGUUCGGUUUAGCCUCCUCCGAUAACCAGCCAUGCCUAAGGUUCUAGAAACCUUUUCAUCUUGUGCGACGUUGGAAUAGGAGUGGUGGUAGCCCCCUUCUGUUAUCUGAACCUUUUUGCAGCUUGACGUUUAGCUUGAUGAUCCUGAUAGUCUUUAAAUUUCUUUUUUUUGAGUGCUGCUGCUGAAUUAGGAGUAACAUUCGCACACUUGAGAGCAUCCUUCACUACUAGUUGUUACAUUCUGAAUUGUUGCUGUAUCUUGGGGCUAAAAAUGUCAUCUUUGAGUCAAUUUGCUGCUGCUUUUGGAUUGCAAUUGCUGCAUAUUGAGCAGAGUUUCUACUGCAUUUAGAGUCAUCUCUGUUGCACUUCUAAAAUUGAGAAGUGAUGCCUUUGCUAUUUGUUGCCUCCUGAAUUGCUCAAUUUGGCAAGUUUGCCAUAAUGGUUGAUGUUAUAUGUUGUCAUUUGGGCUGGAAAGAUUUGGUGUUUCCCUUGAGCUUUUGGGGUUUACUCUUACAAUGUUGAGUUUUUGUUCCCAGAGAGCAAAAGUUACAUUUCUAAGGGCAAAUAACUGUUGCCUUUUAAGGACAAUUGCCUGUUGUUUGCUGCUGCAAUUUAGGGUGAACUGAUGCUGAAUUGUUACAGCUCUUUUAAGCUAAUUGUUGUUGUGUCCUUGAGACAAAUAACUGCUGCAUCUUUACCCAUGUUGCUGCAUCCACCGAGCAGAAAAUGUAGUAAUAUUCUACCACAUAAUAGCCUAUGAGAAUAUUUCGAGCCCUCUAUGAUUCUGCUAUCUGUUUGGUAUGUUGCUGGGCAUGGACAAAUACUACACUUGGUAAGAUCUAACUGAUGUGAAUAUGGUACUACACUGGGCCGACGAAAAAGUAUUUAACUUGAGGCCACAUUUUUAAAAGAACAGAUUUCUAUACUUGAUGAAAAUUUACUGAUUUGAACAUGAUACUACGCUUGGGCUGAUGAAGAGUUGUUUAACUUGAGGCCUCACUUUUAAAAGAACGGAUUUCCAUACUUGAUUGAAAGUUUACUGAUUUGAACACUUAAAACUUUGCAUAAAAAGGGAGUGGGGUUGCUAUACUCAAGUUCGGGCGCAAUUAAUAUGCUAAAUUAUUUUUCCCUUAUUUUAGCCUAGAAAAAAUAUGCUAAGUAUCUCUGGAUAUAUGUUGUUUGGGAAUAAGCCAAUAUGAUGUUUUGAAGUCUGAGUAAGCUUUAGUUUAAUCAAAAGUUCUUGUUGUACAUUUAGCUUGAAGCGCUUGGUUGUUUGAGUAGCAAUUGGGACUACAAUGAUCUUCUUUUAAACUGAUCGUGGUGUUGCGUUUUGAGAAUAUGACACGAGAAAGCCUUGUCUUACAUUUGAUUCUUUUAUCUAGCUUUUAUUAAUUAAAGUUAUAUAGACUUCUUUUUCCUUGUUGAGAAUUGUUUCUAAUCCUUAUUUUUAUUUUUUUCUUUUUCAUGAGGAACCUUGGGAGCAUUUGGAGUUAUGGCAACUCCGGAUUCUGCCCAUAUCAGAGAACAGUCGGUUGCAAGAUUUAAUUGCUCGUGUCUAGCGUCCCCGUCUUCCUUCCUCUCUUUAAAUUCCAUGCCUUUCGCGUUAUCAUGCAUAUACAUGUUUAUAUUCUUGACUAACAUUUUUUAUGGAUUGUAUUUGUAGCACAUUUGUUUCUCGCUGGUGUAGGAACUUAUGGAAAAAAUAGUUAAGUAUGAUGGUAAAUUUAGUCACUACUUUUCCUC